ensembl:lncRNA
GACAGAAUGCUAAAGGGAGACCAAGAUAGAGCCUGUCUUGCUGUUUUGUGACAGUCCUCUCAUAAGAACUAACCAGAAGCCCCAUGAGAAGUGCUUUAAUUCCUUCCAAAGGCAAUGUUUUUCCACCAUUGUAAUGAAUUCUCAUUAGGACACACUUUUUUUUAAUGGUUUGCUACCUUUUAACAGUGCCAUACCUUGGAGCCAGUUUCCCAUAAAGAAAUCCUAAGAGUUUAUCCAAUCUGCAGCAGCCUCUGCCUUGGCCAUCCUUAGCCAGGCAGAAGCUGGCUGGGCAUAGCCUUCAUUGUUUGCCUCUUCAGCAAUGGAUCCACUCUGAUCCUGCCUCCGGCCUAGAAGAUGCAAUGAAGCUGAGUCCUGAACUUCCCUGAAGCUCUUACCAGUAGGAAUUGCCUGGUUUUAUGCACUCUACUGUCUGCUUUCUGGAAACAAAGAUGGUUUGAAGUGGUACCCAGAAGGCUCUCUAGCUUUUACACCUGACUUGUUAUUUUUCUCUUCAGUGCAUCAGUGAUGCGUAGAAACAGCCAUCCAGCUUCACCAUCCACACGAUUAUCAUCUCCCUCAUUUUCAAAAGACAAUGAAUGCACACAAGUCAGUCCCUCUCCUCCUUCUGUGUCCCAUCUCAAUUUACCAAAGCAAACAUCUCAAGUCUACGAUGCUGGGGAAGGGGACUGGAGCUCAAAGGCUACCUGCUUUAGAAAUAUCUUCUUAGGGGCUGGAGAGCUGGCUCAGCAGUUAAGAGCACUGACUGCUCUUCCAGAGGUCCAAUUUCAAUUCCCAGAAACCACAUGGUGGCUCACAACCAUCCGUAAUGGGAUUCAAUGCUCUCUUCUG